UACGGGGGGGUAAGCGUUGUUCGGAAUUACUGGGCGUAAAGGGCUCGUAGGCGGCCAACUAAGUCAGACGUGAAAUCCCUCAGCUUAACUGGGGAACUGCGUCUGAUACUGGAUGGCUUGGAUCCGGAAGAGGGAUGCGGAAUUCCAGGUGUAGCGGUGAAAUGCGUAGAUAUCUGAAGGAACAUCAGUGGCGAAAGCGACUUCCUGGACCAAUACUGACGCUCAUGUGCGAAAGCGUGGGGAGCAAACAGG
rnacentral:rRNA from 1 species